rnacentral:rRNA from 1 species
UUCCUACGGGUGGCAGCAGUGAGGAAUAUUGGUCAAUGGGCGAAAGCCUGAACCAGCAACGCCGCGUGAGGGAUGAAGGCCUUCGGGUUGUAAACCUCUUUUCUGGGAGAAGAGACAAGGACGGUAUCCCAGGAAUAAGUCUCGGCUAACUACGUGCCAGCAGCCGCGGUAAUACGUAGGAGGCUAGCGUUAUCCGGAUUCACUGGGCGUAAAGCGCACGCAGGCGGUUAUGUAAGUCGGACGUGAAAGCUCCUGGCUCAACUGGGAGAGGUCGUUCGAUACUGCAUAGCUUGAGGUUGGGAGAGGGAAGCGGAAUUCCCGGUGUAGUGGUGGAAUGCGUAGAUAUCGGGAGGAACACCAGUGGCGAAAGCGGCUUCCUGGCCCAUACCUGACGCUCAUGUGCGAAAGCGUGGGGAGCGAACGGGAUUAGAUACCCUUGUAGUCCUG